AGUGAACGCUGGCGGCAGGCCUAAUACAUGCAAGUCGAACGGCAGCACAGCAGAGCUUGCUCUGUGGGUGGCGAGUGGCGGACGGGUGAGGAAUACAUGGGAAUCUGCCCAGUCGUGGGGGAUAACGUAGGGAAACUUACGUUAAUACCGCAUGCGCCCUUCGGGGGAAAGCCGGGGACCUUCGGGCCUGGCGCGAUUGGAUGAGCCCAUGUCGGAUUAGCUAGUUGGCGGGGUAACGGCCCACCAAGGCGACGAUCCGUAGCUGGUCUGAGAGGAUGAUCAGCCACACUGGAACUGAGACACGGUGAAGACUCCAACGGGAGGCAGCAGUAGGGAAUAUUGGACAAUGGGCGCAAGACUGAUCCAGCCAUGCCGCGUGAGUGAAGAAGGCCUUCGGGUUGUAAAGCUCUUUUGUCCGGAAAGAAAAGCAUCCAGUUAAUACCUGGGUGUCCUGACGGUACCGGAAGAAUAAGCACCGGCUAACUUCGUGCCAGCCGCCGCCGUAACAC
rnacentral:rRNA from 1 species